CGCGUAGGCGGAUGACAUAGUCAGAUGUGAAAUUCCUGGGCUCAACCUGGGGACUGCAUUUGAUACGUGUUGUCUUGAGUGUGGAAGAGGGUCGUGGAAUUCCCAGUGUAGAGGUGAAAUUCGUAGAUAUUGGGAAGAACACCGGUGGCGAAGGCGGCGACCUGGUCCAUAACUGACGCUGAGGCGCGAAAGCGUGGGGAGCAAACAGGAUUAGAUACCCUGGUAGUCCACGCUGUAACGAUGUGCGCUGGAUGUUGGGUGACCUAGUCACUCAGUGUCGUAGCUAACGCGAUAAGCGCACCGCCUGGGGAGUACGGCCGCAAGGUUGAA
rnacentral:rRNA from 1 species